GUUGUUUUAAAAUACCCUUUAGGGUUCCCUCUGACAUUAUACCACCUUACAGUUGCUAAAAAUUUAGAAAUUGAAAGUAAUCAGUACCCAUUUUGGUUGGUCAUAAUUGUUUGUGGAACCAAUUUCUAAUUCUGACUGCAUUAUUGUAAUUACUGCUAUACAUUUCUAAACAGGAAGCUUUUUAUGUCUGGUUUAUUAGGAAUGAGCUCUUGCUUUGAUGACUAGGGUCAUUGGAGUAUUUAGAACAUGCACAGGCAUGGUCAUACCUCAAUGUAGAUGAGUUAUAGUGAAACAACUGUGGAUUGUUUUAAUGUCAUAAAUUAAAAUUGAACUGGUUCGUGUUUAGUCAUUUUGUAUUUUCAGUUUUCCUGCUGUACUCCUUUGUUGUGAACCUGCUACACUGUGAUUUACUGCAGGAAAGACUUAUCGAAUUUGUGUGCACAACGUUGGGGUCACAACUUGUUUGAACUUUAGAAUCCAGGACCAUAAUUUGCUCCUAGCAGAAACAGAGGGUUAUUACACAUCGCAACAAAAUUACACUGGUUUAGAUAUCUAUGUUGGGCAGUCCUACUCUUUUUUGGUUACCAUGGAUCAGAAUGCAAGUAGUGAUUACUAUAUUGUAGCCAGUGCUAGAUUUGUGAAUCAGUCUCUUUGGCAAAGUGUUACUGGUGUGGCUGUCUUGCACUAUUCAAAUUCAAAAGGAGAGGCAGCUGGUUCCUUCCCUGAUCCAUCAAAUGAUGUAUAUGACACAUCAUUUUCGCUGAACCAGGCAAUGUCCAUCAAUUAGUCAGCAGUUUCUUAUAUUUAUUUGCCACGAGCACCAUGCUGGAAGUCGUAACUGGAUUGCUUAGUGCAUUCAUCAUCAAAAAGCUUUAUUUUGGGAGUUACUCUAUUUAAGUGACAUUCUCAUAAUUUUCUUUUGCGGGAUUGUGAUGUCCCAUUACACCUGGCAUAAUGUCACUGAGAGUUCAAGAAUCACUACCAAGUAUGUUUCAUGUCCAAAUAAGUUAUUGGUAGACACUGAAACAAAUUAUUUUUUCCUUUUCUGUAUUGGCAAAAUGCGGCCAAUAUUUAAUGGUACUAAUACUGUAGUUGCCUUUAAACAUGUUUUCAGGCAUGCUUUUGCGACUUUAUCAUUUGUUUGUGAGAUAUUUAUCUUUCUUUAUGUUGGCAUGGAUGUCUUGGACAUGGAAAAGUGGAGAUUUGUAAACAGAAGGUAUGGUUCAUAUGUCAAAGCUCUCAGUUCUAUGCGGGUCCUGCAAGCUUGCGCCAAUUUGAAGGCUUGGGAGCUCUCUGCGAGAUUUUGAAUGUCAUUUCAAUGAAGCCCUUGAGAAGAAUAUGCAAUGAGUUGUUUUGUUCUGUAGGUAGAUACAACGGCAAUUUACAAUUUGUUCAUUGAAUAGUUGAAUGCUACAAAUAAUGCUUAUAGCACUAGCCUUAUAAAUUGGAAAUGAUACUUUUGAAAUCGAUCAGUUUAUGAUAUACAAUCCAUAUAUUACAUACUAAUGAAUCAGAGCAUGGAUUAUGAUUUA